AAAAAAAAAGGGAAAAAGCAGCCAUGCUUUGCAGAGCAUCGCUCACACUGGAAGAAUCCGCUACUCGCCUGCCCGAGUCCCCCGAUUGUCCAUCACUACACCGAAAUAACCGGGAAUAUGCCUACAAGCCGUUUGCUAACAACAAAACGAAUCACACCAUACAACAAUGUGAAAGAAAACAAAAAGCGAAUGGAUACAGGACAAUACUAUGGGAUCGACCAUAUGGCCUGCGAGAGAGGGUGUUUGAUGGAGGAAUACGACGUGGUUAAAGUCUACUCCUGACGUUGUUUUGCCAAAACAGACGUCCUUUAAAGAAGAUCAAAUGGCCCGUACCCCUUUUUGCCUCCCGAGAUGGAUUCGGACUAACCAUCAUUUUGAAUCUAGCCCCCAAAAACAGUGCUGGUGACGACUUUAACCCAUUACGCACGGGUGUCACCAAGCUCAAUGGCCGCCGUACUUCAAUAGGCAUAGCCUAUUGCAAAUGUUUAAUUGCUUUAUUUUUCUAAUUUUAUCAAAUUGUCACGAUGGGGUAAUGCAUAUAGCCUAUAUUUAUCAGCAGCUAUGAGAUGAUUUUUGAUAGUCUACAACAGUAACCUACCAUUACAGAAUGCCACUUCAACUUCAAAGAACACUGACAUCGCCACAUAACUAUUCGCACAGAAGGUCUGAAGGAACGGGUGGGUAGUCUAUAUUGAACAAGGAAUAUUAUGGGCGGAAAUGGCAAAAUGUAGCACACACACACACACAGACACAGACACACACAUACACACACACACACAGAGUGUUCUGAGGUUCUGGUUCUCCGUGUUCACAGCGGACCUUGAUUUAAUGUCUUACAAUUAAGGCACGCGGUGAAUGCCAAGAGCGGAGCCUGCUAUCAUCUACGCGAGCGCACACAGCUUUCACUAAAACGACACACUAAAGCGAUAACGGAAAGGUUUGUGUCUGCAAUUGUUGUCUGUAAAUUCCCCUGUAGCCUAUGUUGUACUGUUUUCUUUUUUUCAGAAUAAAUAAAGUUCACCCAAUACUACCA